GCAGUAUAACGAAUUCGGGAAAGAUAGGGUGCAGAGGUGGCGGUGAGGAGGAGAGUGGAGUGGCGGGAGAAGUGAGAACGCACUCAGUCACUCUGAGACAGUGGUGCCGACCAGACGUCGCUAGAUAGACCUUGUGAUACUAACACAUCUCAAAAAUGGCGGAUCAGCUUACCGAGGAGCAGAUUGCAGAGUUCAAGGAGGCCUUCUCCCUCUUCGAUAAGGACGGUGACGGCACAAUCACCACCAAAGAAUUGGGCACAGUCAUGAGGUCCCUUGGUCAGAACCCCACGGAAGCAGAACUUCAAGACAUGAUCAACGAAGUCGACGCUGACGGCAACGGUACUAUCGACUUCCCCGAAUUUCUGACUAUGAUGGCGCGUAAGAUGAAGGACACUGACUCCGAAGAAGAAAUCAGGGAAGCAUUUAGGGUCUUCGAUAAGGACGGCAACGGUUUCAUCUCUGCGGCUGAGCUUAGGCACGUGAUGACCAAUCUCGGAGAAAAACUCACUGAUGAGGAAGUCGACGAAAUGAUCAGGGAGGCAGAUAUUGACGGAGACGGUCAGGUCAAUUAUGAAGAAUUUGUGAGAAUGAUGACUUCUAAAUAGAAACAGGGACGACCUAGACACGUCCUACGUCCGGCACUCAGCCUUCCUAAUCCCUAGAAUAGUUAGUUCGUCACAAUGAUGACCUCAAAGUGAAGUGAUCGCACCCACUUAAUAAUAAAACAAAUUUCAAACGAACAGUUUUUCUGCUUUCCAGUUUAUCUUAUUAAAAGGAACUGCUAAAACCCAUUAUAAUAAACGAGUCACAUACUGUAUAUCUUAAACUUGCCUAACUCUUUUGCCUUCAAUAACAAUCUGGCUCUUUAAGCGCUACUACUGUCAGGAAAAAUAUUACCAACACCAACACCACCAAAACCACCACCACUACUCUGCCACCAUUUGCCAAUACUGAUGCUGCAAAUCAUUACCAUAUCCAGGAGAAUAAACACUCUUAAUUAGUAGGCAGCGAUGAUUCCAUAUCUCCUCCUCCUCCUCCUCCUCCUCCAUCAUCAUCAUCAUCAGCGGCUGUGGACCUGGGAGAGAGUGGCGUGUGAGGGGUUCGCUUUUCUGAACCCUCCCUGACCGAGUUUUAUUACAAGGACUCGUCGUCCCCAGUAGCAAGUAGCGCAGUUAUAUGUAUGGGUUGGUUGGUUGGUUCUAGGGGUGCGCUUCGGGUGGUCAGACCUCUGGAGAAAGAAAAUACAUAUAUAUAUAAAAGUAAUUUACCAAGAAAGCCCAUUAUAAAAAAAAAUGUUUACAGGUAGAAAGUUGAUAUAAAAAGUUGUGCAAGGAUGGUGGAAGUCAUCAUAUGUCCACAUGAUGCUUUUAAAAAAUUACAUUUUUACUCUUUUGUUUAUUUUUCUUGAGUCUUGUAGAAAUGUUUUCAGCUUCCAAAGAAAAAAAAAAACAUCUUUUUGAAGUCCUGAAGAAAGGACUGCUACUACUACUACUACUACCCCUUUUUAAAGUACAGUCAUUGUUAUUGUGUGGUAGCCAUAUAAGCUAGUAGUGAAAGACUCCCUUCAGCUUGCUUUGUUUCAAAUGGUGUGUUAAUGAACUAUGAAGUGACGUUUCCAAUGGGCUUCUUUGAUUUGAAAUAUAGUCAGUCACCUUUGAAGACCAUAAAAAAAAGGUUCGUUCGUUCGUUCGUUCCUCCAACAAACAACACUCCGUCGUCAUCGUCAACAACAGAGGACUGCCACCCAUUCUAGUCUGAAGACUAUAUGCUCUUUCUCCUUUUAACUAUUUUUUUUUUCUUUUCCUUUUUUUAGUACUGUUCUAUUUGAAAAUAAUGGAAAGCUAGGUUGCGCAGUUUAUAUAUAUAUAAUUAUAUGAACUGUCAUGUAAAUUUUUAAGUUACAUAAAUAAUUUUUUCUUAAUUUUUGAAAACUAUGUAAUGGUGAUAUCAUCCAGAAUGGUGUUACAUGUCAAGGAUUUUUGUUUUCUCUUCCUUUCACUGUUCACCAAGGGUGAUAAUUAUUUUAUAUUGUGUUUGUCUGGAAGAAAUCAGAAAAAUAUUGAAUACAGUCUAGAGGAGAGGGGAGGGUGCGCUGUACUGUAUUUUAUGUUGGUUGAAUGAGAGAUACAUUUACGUAUCAACAUACUUCUUGUUAGCUGUGUCUUUGUCGAUUUUCUUAAAGGAAUAGCAAAUGUAUACAUAUUGCAAAAAACAAAAAAUGAAGUUAAAUUCUUGUACUACAUAAUACUAAUGUAAGGCACGUCAUAAACUAUAAUUUUUUCAAUCUUUCGUUGUAUCCUCACCAUUUCUUGCAUUGUUUUUCACUGUUAAAAUUGCCGCUAGUAGGGCACUUUUGCGUGCCGCUAAUAGCGACCCUGACCACUAUAAUUAUGAAUAUUGUGUAGGAAAAUAUACAGUUCUUUAAAAAUAUUCUCUUUCUGCAACAUGUCUUAUAUUUAUUUUUAUUUUUUCUUUUGGUAUUUCUCGCCAGAUGUGGCAUUGUUGGUUUUUGAAGCUUAUUAGGGUCUCAGCAGUUGAUGGGAGAAAAAUGUUGUAGUCAGCUUUUCAGAUUUUGUUAUUGGACGCCCCUCGGGGAACAGGGCCCAGGAUGGUGACGAAAGCAGUCUUGCCCUUCUACUCGGAGGCUGAGAGUGUGUGCACUGAACCCCCCCCCCCAAGAAGGCUUCUCAUAUGUUUUGGUAGCUGGAGGAAGGGAAUAAUGGCCUCACAGAAGUCUCUCGAGUGGUGUGGCAGUAGCAGCUUAGUGACCAUCCUACUGGCACAUUUUCGAUUCAUUUGGGGGAAUCCUUUUUAUGCGUUGCACGAGUUUUGUUGGGUGUUCGGUUUUCUUAAUGACAUGUGAUAAAACUCUGUAUCGCGAUGAACAUUCCUUUGACACUGUUGUAUGUGAGGUGUAGCUUCGUGCCGUGAUAUAAAAAAAAAAGCAUGUGCUUCACCACCUUUAUAUUGUGGUAAGUUAGGCCAGUGGGAAAGUGAGAGGGGCGGGUGUCAGCAGCAGACUUGGAACAGCUGAUGCUAAGGGGGGAACCCUAUUAUAAAGCAGUUUAUAGGUCAUUUGAUUUGUUGUUUUCAGAAUUCUUUUGAUUUCACCGAGUACAUUUGAGUCCAUAACUUGCUGCCACCGUGUUAACCUCCUGUUUUUUCCCACUUCCUUUCAUACCCUCUACAUAUAAAAGAGCCCUCAGCUGGUGAGACCCAGUGUCGCAGGGGCGUUUCCAUGCCACUGCAGUAGCUGCCACGCGUCACCUCCCCGACUACAGUACAUCAGCAGCAGUGCUGUUAUCAAGGGGGUGGCAGUGGAGUUGCUGUGCCACCUGCUACUGUACUGCCCAGCCGCACUGCACCACCCCAUCAACGUUACCAUAAUUAAACUUAUUGUUCGUUACAUUACUGUUAUAUAAAAAGUCUAUAUGAUGAACUGUAUUCUUCUUCUUCUUCUCUCCAUGUCCACAAUCCACUUGACUUUCCCUUCCUCUUAAAAACCAAUUUUUGAGAAUAUUAUCACCACUGCUUCAGUUCCAAGCAACCGAGUAGGCCCGGUUGCAUGCAACAUCGCUGCAGGUUUUUGCCAUAGUUUUCCUGAUAAAACGUGUGUUUGCGCGCGAACGAGCGAGCGACUGAGUAUAAGAGAGUUUCAAGUGUGUGUGAACAGGGCAGUGGUGGCUUACAACAGCCUCCCUUCCUGGCCUUCAUAUCAACCUUUCACCUUCCAUAAUUAUUAUUAUUAAUUCUCUUUGGGUUCUCUGUAUAAGCCAGCCUCUUCUCUCUUCCUCCUCCUCCUCCUCCUCCUCCUCCUCCUCCUCCUCUUCCACCUCUUCCUUCUCUUUGGCAGGUCAGUCAUCCCACCUCUGUCAUGUUUAUGCUUUGUCUUUUGCUGGUGUUUUUCUUCACUGACUCGGAUGGCCCUGGGUGAGGAUGGGCAGUGGGUUUGAUCUGCUGGUAAAUUGUGGGUUGUGGGCAGUGUGUGGGCAGGCGGCCAGGCAGGGUUUCGGGAUGGGACAGGAUGCCUCUGCGGCCUCUUUGCCCCCACCACCAGGAUGCCAUUAGUAUAAUUUGAGGACCUGAUGUCAUGUUGUAUUGAAUAAAAAAGAUCAAGAAAGUAAAA